rnacentral:rRNA from 1 species
ACCAACAGGGAUUGCCCUAGUAACGGCGAGUGAAGCGGCAACAGCUCAAAUUUGAAAUCUGGCGUAAGCCCGAGUUGUAAUUUGUAGAGGAUGCUUCUGGGUAGCGGCCGGUCUAAGUUCCUUGGAACAGGACGUCAUAGAGGGUGAGAAUCCCGUAUGUGACUGGCUUGCACCCUCCACGUAGCUCCUUCGACGAGUCGAGUUGUUUGGGAAUGCAGCUCUAAAUGGGAGGUAAAUUUCUUCUAAAGCUAAAUACCGGCCAGAGACCGAUAGCGCACAAGUAGAGUGAUCGAAAGAUGAAAAGCACUUUGGAAAGAGAGUUAAAAAGCACGUGAAAUUGUUGAAAGGGAAGCGCCCGCAACCAGACUUUGCGGCGGUGUUCGGCUGGUCUUCUGACCGGUUUACUCGCCGCCGUGAGGCCAUCAUCGUCUGGGACCGCUGGAUAAGACCUGAGGAAUGUAGCUCCCUUCGGGGUGUGUUAUAGCCUCUGGUGAUGCAGCGCGUCUCGGGCGAGGUCCGCGCUUCGGCAAGGAUGAUGGCGUAAUGGUUGUCGGCGGCCCGUCUUGAAACACGGACCAAGGAGUCUAACAUCUAUGCGAGUGUUCGGGUAUCAAACCCCUACGCGUAAUGAAAGUGAACGGAGGUGGGAACUUUUUGUGCACCAUCGACCGAUCCUGAUGUCCUCGGAUGGAUUUGAGUAAGAGCAUAGCUGUUGGGACCCGAAAGAUGGUGAACUAUGCCUGAAUAGGGUGAAGCCAGAGGAAACUCUGGUGGAGGCUCGCAGCGGUUCUGACGUGCAAAUCGAUCGUCAAAUUUGGGUAUAGGGGCGAAAGACUAAUCGAACCAUCUAGUAGCUGGUUCCUGCC